rnacentral:tRNA from 1 species
GCCACCCUAGCUCAACGGUAGAGCAAUCGCUUCGUAAGCGAUAGGUUGUCGGUUCAAUCCCGACGGGUGGCU